UACGGAGGGUGCAAGCGUUAUCCGGAUUCACUGGGUUUAAAGGGUGCGUAGGAGGGUAGGUAAGUCAGUGGUGAAAUCUUCGAGCUUAACUCGGAAACUGCCGUUGAUACUAUCUAUCUUGAAUACCGUGGAGGUGAGCGGAAUAUGUCAUGUAGCGGUGAAAUGCUUAGAUAUGACAUAGAACACCAAUUGCGAAGGCAGCUGGCUACACGAGCAUUGACACUCAGGCACGAAAGCGUGGGGAUCAAACAGG
rnacentral:rRNA from 1 species